GAGGGAUGAUGCUGGGAGGAACUGGGGGAAACAAGUGCCUGAUCUGCCUCUCUCUCAUGCCUCCACUCUCACACUGGAACCCAGAAAGGCAAGGGGACCCACUGGCAUGGUCCACAUCGGGUGACCUCAGGAUGGGUGCAGAGAUGGCUGGAGAAGGGACAAUAUGGAUCCUCUGAAAUUACGCUUGAUGUGUGCGUGAGCAGCCUUCCAAGAAUCAUUGUCAAACAUCCCACAUCCCCACAUCUGGAUUAGGAGAGCUAAUCCAGAAGACCACAGCUGAGUCGCUGUGCAAAGCUGCCUCCCAGCAUUAUUGCCCAUGUCUGCUUUAUAACCGGAAGGUGUCUUGUCUGUUCACCUUUAACCUGGAGGCCCAGACAUUCCUCUCUUUCACUGCCCAGUGACCUCUCCUGCCUCUCCUCUCGUGACUGUGAAUUCUUUGUCCCUGUAACCUGGCUGCCGCAUAUGAGUCUGACCGAAGAUGGAGAGGAGCCCUAGGCUAGAGCAGCAGGUCUGUUUCCAGGACCACAUGCCUCCAGGCCUAGCUGGUAGUCUAGGGGUUGCUGUUUACUGAAGAUGAGAGCAAGGCUUGGACAUAUGGCCUGGAGUGUCUGAACUCCUUUAUGAGAGGUCCCAUUAAAGUGUGGAAUAGAGU
ensembl:lncRNA